CCUGGGCGACCGGCUCCUGCGCCCAUUGGGGAACGUGUGGCUGGAAAACGGGCGUCAUUGAGCAGAUUGGAGCUCUGCUUCCCCCAAUCGCUUCCGCCCAGCAGAUGCUGAGAGCCUGACGCGGAUGUUAGAGCAUUGCAGCAGCCUUCACCUCUUCCAGCUGCACGUCAGCUCGACAAGCGCUGCUGGAGCUGGACGCGGGCCAGGACGACGCUGCUAGAUGAGGAGGACCGGCCGAGCCGGAGGAGAGAAGCCGGAGUGAUGCUGGCCCUGUCCCCGCAGACUGCUGGACCAUCUCCCCGCUCUGCUACCUGCGAGGAUCCCAGCAGGUUUUCCCACGGCCCCUUGGGGCAACAAAUACUUGGCGGCGAUUCGCCGAACUGUCUCCACCAUAAACAGUCAGAACCGGUUUGGCCUGGAGCACACGGAGAGCCGCGGCGCCUGCAGGUGGACGGCUGGGCCACGCGCUCCGGUUCGCGGGCAAGCACCACCCUGCACGUCAUCCACCUCAGAUUACAUCCUGCUGUGCAUUCACCGUGCC